rnacentral:rRNA from 1 species
CCCUUAGAUGUUCUGGGCCGCACGCGCGCUACACUGAUGCAUUCAACGAGCCUAUCCUUGACCGACAGGUCCGGGUAAUCUUUGAAUCUGCAUCGUGACGGGGAUAGAUUAUUGCAAUUAUUAAUCUUCAACGAGGAAUGCCUAGUAGGCGCAAGUCAUCAGCUUGCGUCGAUUACGUCCCUGCCCUUUGUACACACCGCCCGUCGCUCCUACCGAUUGGGUGUGCUGGUGAAAUGUUCGGAUCGGCCGUUUGUCGCGGUUUCCGCGUCAUGUGGCUGAGAAGUUCAUUAAACCCUCCCAUCUAGAGGAAGGAGAAGUCGUAACA